rnacentral:tRNA from 1 species
GGCACUAUGGCCGAGUGGUUAAGGCGACAGAUUCGAAAUCUGUUUGGGUUUCCCAGCGCAGGUUCAAAUCCUGCUGGUGUCG